rnacentral:rRNA from 1 species
CCUACGGGUGGCUGCAGUGGGGAAUAUUGGGCAAUGGAGGAAACUCUGACCCAGCAACGCCGCGUGAAUGAUGAAGGUCUUCGGAUUGUAAAGUUCUUUUCUAAGGGAAGAAGAAAGUGACGGUACCUUAGGAAUAAGCCUCGGCUAACUACGUGCCAGCAGCCGCGGUAAUACGUAGGAGGCGAGCGUUAUCCGGAAUGACUGGGCGUAAAGGGUGCGUAGGUGGUUUGGCAAGUUAGUAGCGUAACUCCAAGGCUCAACCCCGUACUGCCGUUGAAACUGCAUCCCUUGAGUGCGCGAGAAGUAUGCGGAAUGCGUGGUGUAGCGGUGAAAUGCAUAGAUAUCACGCAGAACUCCGAUUGCGAAGGCAGCAUACCGGCGCGCAACUGACGCUCAUGCACGAAAGCGUGGGUAUCGAACAGGAUUAGAUACCCUUGUAGUC